rnacentral:lncRNA from 1 species
CCUGUGACAAUUAGCUUUGUAUGCUAGGCUGGGAAAGCCUUCAGUGAAAGAGGGAGUUGUCGCGUGGGAAGUCUUUGUGUGUGGCUUCCAGGCCGUCGGUGCGGAGAGGAGUUCCCUGUUGCAUCUGAGUCGGGUCCAGAAUUUUGACAACGGCUCACUCGGCAGAGGAAGAUAACUACCGACACG